rnacentral:rRNA from 1 species
CCCUAGUAACUGCGAGUGAAGCGGGAAAAGCUCAAAUUUAAAAUCUGGCGGUCUUUGGCCGUCCGAGUUGUAGUCUGGAGAAGCGUCUUCUACGCCGGACCGUGUACAAGUCCCUUGGAACGGGGCGUCAUAGAGGGUGAGAAUCCCGUCCAUGACACGGACCGCCGGCGGUUUGUGAUGCGCUCUCGAAGAGUCGAGUUGUUUGGGAAUGCAGCUCAAAACGGGUGGUAAAUUCCAUCUAAAGCUAAAUACUGGCGAGAGACCGAUAGCGAACAAGUACCGUGAGGGAAAGAUGAAAAGCACUUUGGAAAGAGAGUUAAACAGUACGUGAAAUUGCUGAAAGGGAAACGCUUGAAGUCAGUCGCGUCGGCCGGGGCUCAGCCUUGCAUUCGUUUGCUCGGUUUACUUCCCGGUCGACGGGCCAGCGUCGAUUUUGACCGUCGGAGAAGGGCCAGAGGAAAGUGGCACCUUCGGGUGUGUUAUAGCCUUCGGUCGCAUACGACGGUUGGGAUCGAGGAACGCAGCACGCCUUCGAUGGCCGGGGCGUCCGUGCCCACGUAUCGUGCUUAGGA